CGAGACUUUGGAUGCAAACAGCUGGAAUAUCUGGGACAGACAUCUUUCGCGUAGGACAGUUGAAACUGAAAUGAACUCACCGAAAAAUAUUAGUCCAUUGUCCGACAGUGCGGAUAGGAUUGUAGUUCUUCUCUUCUCCCAACGAGGAUAUCCAUGUCAGUCGAUAAUGAGCAUUCACGAUUCCAAUUGGACUCGGCCGUGUCGACCAUUUACUCUGCACAAUUGUCUCUUGUGUCUGCUAAUAGUGUCCGUUUUAGUGUCGAUUCAGCCGGGCAGCCGUGGCGUUUUGGCCAGUGAAAACGAAGAUCCCCUGACCAAAGACAAAUGGUCCAAAGCGAUAAACUGGACGGAUACAAAAGUUCGGCCCAAAUCGAAUGCCAUGACGUGCCUCUCGUCCGUCGACGACCGGCGUGAAAACAACUGCAUCGAAGUGAUCCAGGCCAGUUUCAGUCAGAUCUACGACAAAACAUUGAACCACUCGCUGGAAUACCGACUCAUCUAUUCCUACUCUGACCUCAAGACGAAUUUCGCCGUCAGCGUUGAAAGUAGCGACGCUGGUGUCGAACAUCCGAUCCUUUUUGUGGUGCGACAACAAAAGGCCAUUACUUCUUGGGAAUUGCCUUAUGUCAUCGAGUCGUCGCCCGGCUACCAAUUAGGUUACAACAGCUUCCGGAGGACGUUGUGCCCUGAAUCGACGACAUGGAUGGGAUCCAUCAACCAAAUCGUUGUCGAUAUUUCCACGUCGAGCCGAUCGAACGUGACGUUCAGUCUGAAAAUGUCGGUCGACGCUCAGCUGCACGUGCGGUUGGAAGAGGAGCGUCGCAUGUGGGUCACUCCGUCGCAGAACCGCAUCUUUAAAUUCACGUUCCCGACGUCGGCGUCGCAGGUGGCCGUCUCCUCCAAAUCUCCCGACGAUAUUUGCCUGACGGUAUCGGUUCAAAGUCCUCAAUGUCCCGUGUUCGACACGAUUUACAAUGUGGAAUACGAAGGGUACCGUCAAACGAUGACCGGCCAAUCAACAAUCAUCGUGCAGAAAAAUCAAUACCCCGAAGGCUUUUAUCUCGUGUACAUAGUCAAUACAAAUGAUGACAAGUGCGUCAACAGCCGGAUGCCAGCGCCGUUCCGGGCAAACCGGACGAAAGAAGUAACUUUCACUAUCCAGGAGACGGUGUCGGUGCAAGAGUUCCAUCAAGUGAUAUUUAUGGGGACGCUGGGCGUCUACGCGGGAUUCAUCACCUUGGUUAUAGCCACUUGUCUUUUAGUCGAGUGGAGGAGGAAACGGUCCAAACAGGCGCGCCGGGAGUGGGAGGUCACGGUAAAAACGUAUAAAUCCGAAUUGCAACCCAUUUCUGAGGAACAAGAGUCUCAAAUCAGCAGUGCAACCAUCAAGACGGAAGAUUCAACCUGUCACGUAGGAGCGACAUCAGCAGAGGACGCCGACGUCGUCUUUAGCGACACUCGCCCCACAAGGCAACAGAAUAAACUCAGCAGUAAGCGAUGGAGACGAGUGUCGGAGAUGACCAAACACCAACCGGAUUUCUACAAUAAAAAGUCCAAGCGCUACGUGUCCGAGCUGUGCAUUAUCGCCGUUUUCUACCUCAUCCCCGUCGGCCAGCUCGUCUGGAACUACAAAGACAUGAUGGUGACGACGGGAGACCAAGACAUGUGCUACUACAAUUUCGCCUGCGCCUAUCCCUACCAUCUGCUGAUUGACUUUAGCGACUUUAAUCACUUCUUCUCCAACAUUGGCUACGUCGUUCUGGGCACCAUCUUCUUGCUCAUCACCAAGCGGCGGGACUACAUCGACACGAUGCGUCAAAACGCCACCGGUGCUGAGCAGCAGCAGCAGGAGCAGGAGCGAGGCAUUCCGCCGCAUUACGGCCUCUCCUAUUCCAUGGGCUUCGGUUUGAUCGUCGAGGGGAUUCUCAGCGCCUGCUACCACUUGUGCCCGACGAGGCUCAAUUAUCAAUUCGAUACGUCGUUCAUGUACGUGCUGGCCGUUUUGUGCACGCUGAAAUUGUAUCACGCCCGUCACGCCGACAUAAAUGUCAAAUCUCACAUGGCCUACAUCGUCCUGGCCCUGCUGGUGUUCCUUGGGGCCGGCACGGCCUUCACCAGCCAAUUCUACUUCAAAUUGGGUUUCACUGUGGUCCAUUUGAUCGCCUGCGUCGCCCUGGCCAUCGACGUCUACUACAUGGGUCACUGGAAGUUGGACAAAGAAACAAUGGUGGAGCAUGUCAACACCUGCUGGAAAUCACGACCGCUGUAUCUGGAGCGCUUGACCUUGGUGGUUGUCGGUAAGUCUCGCGCAACAACAACAAUCGGCGACAAAGUGAAGGGCAGCGAUUGUUGUUGCGCUCCGGUUGUUGCUGUCGACUUGAAACUAAAUCAUUUCAGGAUUUAUUAUAUUAACUCCUUUGAUAUAGGAAUCGUCUGCAACGUGGCGUUCGCCGUGCAGCAGCUGGUGAUGGACAGCGUUGAUUUCAACACGCACCUGCUGGCCGUCUUCAUGAUCAACCUCUUUGUCUAUUCCGUCUUCUACGUCACCAUGAAGAUGCGCAAGCGGGAGUGGGCCUUCGUCACGAACCGCAUCUACCCUUUCUUGUUCCUACUGGCGGCCCUGGCGUUUUGGCUGACCGGUUCUUAUUUCUUUUUGAAAAAAGCGGCCAAGUGGGAGAAAAGUCCAGCCGAGUCAAGAAUGCUGAAUCAGGAAUGCCUGGUGGCUAGUGUCUAUGACACGCACGACUUGUGGUAAAUUCGACGACACUACCUAUAACUAACUGCUCCACAUAAUACCCACUUAACGUUAUAUGGCAUUUUCUGUCUUCGACUGGUCUCUUUUUCUUCUUCAUGUUCCUGUUGACGCUGGAUGACGACAUUGAAUCGAAAUCACGCCAAGACAUCCCGGUCUUUU
rnacentral:misc_RNA from 1 species